AUUUUCACCCCUGCUAAAUUUUCAGCAAUUUCCCGUUUGUCGUGUUUACUGUUUAAUCCCGUAUUUUAAUUUAUUACCGACAAUACUGCCUUUAAAAUGGCCAAUUGUGGGUGGCUUUGGAGUAUCAUCUGGUUCAUAAUCCUCAUAGUGUUUGGCUGGCCAAUUGGAUUUCUGUGCGCCAUUAUCUUUGUCAUCUUUAGUCCCUGUGCAGCCUGUUGCUCUGGCUGCAAUGAACUUAUUAACUUACUUGAAAGAGGUGUUAAACUGCCUCUAACUUGUGCCCAGAAUAUGGUGUCUGGCAAGUCCAUGUGUUAAUUAGAUUCCAUUCAUCUUAGCAUGUAUUAGAAAAGCUAAUCUCUAAUUUUUUAAUUACCAUUCACUGUAUUUUAUUUCAUCAAAGUCCUAAUGAAAACUAAUUUUUUCCCCUAAAAGCUUUAGGUGCAUAUGCAAUUUUUUAACAACACAAUUUUAUCAACUCCAAAAGAAUUCCACAAUUUUUCUCUGUAUAUUCAAUAUCUGGAGAAAACAUUUUUUUUUUUUUUUUUUUUUUUACUAUUUUUUUACACUGUAACUAAAUGAGUACUAAGUUUGUUUUAGCUUGAUAAUAGCUUAAUUGCACAAAUAAAAUUAUUUUCUGGGGUUCAUAAUACACUGACUUGAAAAUAAUUACAAGCUUUUUAAAAAAUGAAGAUUAUUUCAACUAUCAAGCCCAAAUUAUUGUAUCUCAGAAGUAAUCUUACUUCCCUUUAUUAAUAAAGAAUUCUCAACAAAAUGAAAAACAACAGUGUCUCAAUUUUAGAAAACUGUUAGGCUUAUAUAGCAUAAUAUUAAUAAUAACUAGGAACAUUAUAGGUCUAUAUGUUUUGUAUUACUUUUAAAUUUAUGGUUGAGAUAGGUAUUUUAGUUAUUCAAAUUACAAAUUUCUAGACCUGAUACAUAUAGCUGUAUUGUAAAUUAUGAUCUUCAAUACUUUAUUGUAUUUUUUACAUUUUUUGUUAUUUAUCAUUUAUUAUACACUUACAAUAUGUUGUAAUAAUGGCUCAUUUAUGUAGUGAUAUAUAAAUAAAAGCCAAUGUGUAAAACUCAGUAAUCAUUGAUUAGUAAAUCAUGUCAAAAUACAAAUUUGAUAUUUAAAUUAAAUUGAUUUUAUUUUAAUGAGUGUAUGUUAAUCAACUUUUGUUUUACAUCAUUUUUAUGUAAGCUUUUAUAUUAAGAGAUUUAAAAACAAAGUAUUUAAAAUUUAAGAAUCAGAUAGGCCCUAUUUCAAUAUUUUACAGAAUCAAAUGGGGUAUGUCAAACAUGGCAGGAUCUAUUAUUGGAGAUUAAUUUAUAAACUUCCAGGGUGCUUUAUUUCAUAUUUAUUUAUAGGCUGAUGUUUACUUAACCCUUUGUCUAUGCUUUAAUUUGUCUGUGUUUUUUAUGCUACUUUAUAAAUGUAGUUAGUAUACCCUCAAAAAACUUUUGUUUGUGUAUUCUAUUUUGCCAACUACCUAACUUAAAAAAAUAUUGGAUAGUAAUAGUUCUGUAUGCAAUAAUGCAAGAAAGUAAAACAAGCCAAAGUUUUGUAAAGUCAAAUACACCGAUUAUAAAAUUUCAUUUAAAGGCAUCAUGAUUGCUUAUUUAAUUAAUGGCUAUAGAAGCAACCUAAUUUCAUUCAACCCCUUUGUAAUAUUCCUUUUGGUGUGUCAGUCAAAGUUUGACUUGGUAUUUAGAAUCUAACUUUCCCCAAAACUGUUAUAAAAUAUUGUGAUCAGGAUUAAAAAUCUAGUAAAAAUGUUUUUGUCUGAUUUAAUAGUGGAGAAGAAACUUGGGUUAAUGUAAUUUAUUGUACAAUAACUUUUUUUAAGAUGAGAGUCCAUUUUAACUAGAUAAAUGAAUAUAUUCUUAUAAAUAGACAUUCACACAGUUGUAGCUUACUAUUUAUUAAUAGCAAAAAAGUAUGAUAAAUUGUAAGUUCCCUUGUGUGUAUUUAGCCGUUUUGUUUUAUUUUACCACCAUUUUAAGCAUUUACCACGAUUGUCUAACACUAUUUUUAAAAUAUUAAAAUGUUAGAUGUCCAAAAAGGGAUUUCUGAGAACCUGGUUAACAUUUUAGUUAGGACUGAUUGUUUCAUUGCAAACAUGUUCCCUUUUUUGCUCAACCUGAAUGUAAGGACCAGUAAAAACUAGAAUUUUAUGCUAUUUCACUUUUGGUUUUUUUACUCAUAAAAGUGCCACAUCUAGUCUCAUUUUUACUAUAUUUUUUACUGCUGCAUUUCAUUUUUGUUUGACUGGAUCUGUAAAUUGUAUUAUUGGUGUUGAUGGAAUACGCCCAAAGCUUUAGUCAUGUCUCUCUUUCGUAAGACUGAUUCUCUAUACAUUUUGCAAUAAAUAUUAUAUUAUUUCUUGCCAAUCUACAAAAAAAAUAUACCUGUAUCUUUUUCAGUUUUGAUUAAAUUAUAUCUUGUACAAAAAUCUGAUCUACUCAGUGCUUUAAACAUAUCCUUCUGUAAUACUGCCUUACUCAGCCAUGUUCAUGAUAAUGCAGCCAGCAGGCCUACUUAUUUUUUUUAUUUUUUUUUGUGUGCUUAUUUUUACACAAUUCAAAUACAUUCUCUCAGUAUUGAAGUAGUGAUGAAACUUGAGUCCAUUAAACAUUGAUCUUAUUUAUGGCAGUAGCUUCAUGGACAGAACAAAUGACACCAGUUUGGUUUUAAAAGUCCCUAUAUUUUCUUAUUCAUUUUUAAAUACUAUUUCCUCUCAUAUUUCCUAAUGAAGUAGAAACUUGUAUUUUCAUCCUCUCAGCUGAAUGGUAUCUAAAGAACUGAUAAUUAAAAUUAGGGACAAAGAUUGUUUUGCUAAAUGAACCUAUAGUUCUACUAAUAAGUUUUUAAGAAUCUAAUUUAGAUAAGCUUUAAUACAAGUGUCUUUUUCAUCUAUGAGGUUUCACCCAAUUAAAAUAACUUGUUUGGUCUUACAGUUUAAAAUGCAUUUUAAAAACUUAAAUUUAUGUUAAAGAAAAAAUUCAUGGACUUUCAAAAUAUUUAAUGGCCUAUGUGAGAAAAAUUGAAAAAGUGCUGCUGAAUUAGAUUUAGAAAAGCAAUUGUUAUUGCAAUUUUUUGUUUACCAGUUAUACAAUAUUUGUUUUGAUAUUUGCCUUGGCUUCAGGUUGAUGAUUUAAAAAGCUUUUAUGUAUCAAAUUAGAAUGUGAUAUUCUUUUAUUCACAUUUGCCUUUCUUAUUUUAAAAUUAUUCCAAAUAUUUAAUCUAUUCUUCAGCAAUAAAGUUUCUAGGCAUUUUUAUUUCCUAACAUUGUAUUGUUUGCUCCAGGUUCUCAAUUACAUUUCUAUACACUACUCCCUCUUAGCAUAAUUAAUAUGGAAAAAUCAACUGGGUCUAGAGCAAUGUUAAAAAAAUGUAUAACAACUGCUGAUCUGCUAGUUUUUAUAUUGUAAUGAUAAAAAAUAGAUUAUUAAAUGAUUUCCAAACUUGUAUUUGUUUUUAAGUUUAAGUAAGGUUUGAUAUGUAUUUAAAUUAUAAUAUAUAUAUAGCCCAUUCUUUAGUUGGUUAAUCAUGGUAGGACCAAUACAACUAUUGUGUAAUUUUGAUAUUUCCCAAAUGUGUUCUAUUUUUAAUUUCUUGAUUCUCAAAUAGUUCAUUGUAACUGGUUAACAAUUCUAAAAUUGUUUUUAUGUUCAUUGUAAUUUUUUCUUCCUGCAUUUUGAAAUUAUGAAAUGAUUGUACCCUGAAGUUACCUGGUAUACAUUUUUGAGCUUCCAUUUUAAAACCAAAAUGCUAUUUCUAAAACAUUUUUAUAUACUAAUCUCAGCAUGUGAACUUUAGUCUCCAUAAAACUGUAUUUAAUACUUUCAAUAUAUUUUCUUUAAAAGAUGAA